AACGUUCAACAACGGAUCUCUUGGUUCUGGCAUCGAUGAAGAACGCAGCGAAAUGCGAUAAGUAAUGUGAAUUGCAGAAUUCAGUGAACCAUCGAAUCUUUGAACGCACAUUGCGCCCGGCAGUAAUCUGCCGGGCAUGCCUGUCCGAGCGUCAUUU
rnacentral:rRNA from 1 species